rfam:Triticum aestivum genome assembly, contig: Triticum_aestivum_CS42_TGACv1_scaffold_362790_4DS
AAAGUACUCGCUCCGUCCCAAAAUUCUUGUCUUAGAUUUGUCUAGAUACGGAUGUAUCAAGUCACAUUUAAUAUUAGCUACAUCCGUAUCUAGACAAAUAUAAGACAAGAAAUUUGGGAUAGAGGGAGUAGUUG